rnacentral:lncRNA from 1 species
CAGGCAUGUGCACAUCUGCUUCACCUGGGGGAGAUGCUUAAAGGUACCAAGAGUUUGGGUGUUGUUUUUUUUUUAAUUAUAAUAAAUUAAAUUCUCAUCCCUUCCUUCCUGUCUUGGUAUGCUGCUUUCUCUUAUGCUGUGGUCUGUAAAUGUAUUUCUCUUCCUAAUUUGACUCUGUUUUUAGAUCUAGCUGUGAAUUCUUUAUUCUCUCACAUAGACAUAUGACAGUGGGGGAGGAGAGCAUGCAUAUUUCCUAAAUUUUCACAAGAAAUCUGUCUUGCUAUCUCCAAAGAGCGGAAAUUUAGGGAGGAGCAUCCAGUAGUCUCAGCUUCCUCCAAAUCGUACUCAGUAGCAUGUCCAAUAUGCCACAUACAUCAGUCAGACAUUUGUCCUGAGCACAGUGAAGGCUUCAGAGGUGUGAAAUGGGGCGGGCUUGUGUGGACAUAGGGGAUUCCACAUCCUCGGGUAACUCUGGGAGCCAUCUUAGUUGAUACUUCACCCACAUCCACCGUGUUUUGUCUUAUAGGCUUCUGGAAUCCAUUUUGUCCGUAGAGUGGAUAGAAGCCCCUGAAUCGUAUUUCUGGAGGCAGCCCUACCCCCACUGCCAGGAAAUUACCAAGCAUGUCCUGAAGAUGAAGAUACUCUCAGCCUAACGUCUCCAAGCAAAUAUUGAUUCAGCAGUAUCCCCAGGCAAAGCCACACCAUAUAUCAGUGAACAGAGAAACAACUGCCCUUCUCCGGGCCCCUGUCUGAGAAGCUGGAGCAUAAGCCCUGGAGCUCUCUGGAGCAGUUUCCUUGCUCACUGCCCCCAGCUGAACACAGGUUGGUCAGAUCUACUCCCGUUCCCACUCUGUCCCCAUCUCUCCCCUCUGUGCUUGCCAAGCAGUAAGU